rnacentral:rRNA from 1 species
GGACGAACGCUGGCGGUGUGCUUAACACAUGCAAGUCAAGGAGAAUUUUAUCUUCGGAUAGAUAGUAAACUGGCGAACGGGUGAGUAACGCGUAAAUAACUUGCCUCGGAGAUUGGGACAACAUUGGGAAACCAGUGCUAAUACCAAAUAAUGCAGCGGGCCCUUCGGGGCACAGUUGUUAAAGUAGGCUUCGGCUUACACUUUGAGAUAGAUUUGCGUCCGAUUAGUUAGUUGGUAGGGUAAUAGCCUACCAAGACCGAGAUCGGUAGCUGGUCUGAGAGGAUGAUCAGCCACACUGGAAUUGAGAUACGGUCCAGACUCCUACGGGAGGCAGCAGUGAGGAAUUUUGCACAAUGGGCGAAAGCCUGAUGCAGCAACACCGCGUGAUUGAUGAAGUUUUUAGGAAUGUAAAAAUCUGUCGUAAGGGAAGAAAUGUUUCGGAUGUUAAUACCAUCUGUUACUGACGGUACCUUACAAGAAAGGACCGGCUAACUUCGUGCCAGCAGCCGCGGUAA